rnacentral:rRNA from 1 species
UACGUAGGGUGCAAGCGUUAAUCGGAAUUACUGGGCGUAAAGCGUGCGCAGGCGGUUCUAUAAGACAGAUGUGAAAUCCCCGGGCUCGACCUGGGAACUGCAUUUGUGACUGUAGAGCUGGAGUACGGUAGAGGGGGAUGGAAUUCCGCGUGUAGCAGUGAAAUGCGUAGAUAUGCGGAGGAACACCGAUGGCGAAGGCAAUCCCCUGGACCUGUACUGACGCUCAUGCACGAAAGCGUGGGGAGCAAACAGG